AUUGAACGCUGGCGGCAUGCUUUACACAUGCAAGUCGAACGGCAGCGCGGGCUUCGGCCUGGCGGCGAGUGGCGGACGGGUGAGUAAUGCAUCGGAACGUGUCCUGUAGAGGGGGAUAGCCCGGCGAAAGCCGGAUUAAUACCGCAUACGAUCUACGGAUGAAAGCGGGGGACCUUAGGGCCUCGCGCUAUAGGGGCGGCCGAUGUCGGAUUAGCUAGUUGGUGAGGUAAAGGCUCACCAAGGCGACGAUCCGUAGCUGGUCUGAGAGGACGACCAGCCACACUGGGACUGAGACACGGCCCAGACUCCUACGGGAGGCAGCAGUGGGGAAUUUUGGACAAUGGGGCAACCCUGAUCCAGCAAUGCCGCGUGUGUGAAGAAGGCCUUCGGUUGUAAGCACUUUGUUCGGAAGAAAACGUAGGUAAUAAUCUUAAUGGAUGACGGUACCGGAAGAAUAAGCACCGGCUAACUACGUGCCAGCAGCCGCGGUAAUACGUAGGCGCAAGCGUUAAUCGGAAUUAUUGGGCGUAAAGGGUGCGUAGGCGGUUUGUUAAGACGGAUGUGAAAUCCCUGGGCUCAACCUGGGAACUGCAUACGUGACUGGCAGACUAGAGUAUGGCAGAGGGAGGUGGAAUUCCACGUGUAGCAGUGAAAUGCGUAGAUAUGUGGAGGAACACCGAUGGCGAAGGCAGCCUCCUGGG
rnacentral:rRNA from 1 species